rnacentral:rRNA from 1 species
UACGAAGGGGGCUAGCGUUGCUCGGAAUCACUGGGCGUAAAGCGCACGUAGGCGGAUCGUUAAGUCGGAGGUGAAAUCCUGGAGCUCAACUCCAGAACUGCCUUCGAUACUGGCGAUCUUGGAGUCCGGGAGAGGUGAGUGGAACUCCGAGUGUAGAGGUGAAAUUCGUAGAUAUUCGGAAGAACACCAGUGGCGAAGGCGACUCACUGGCCCGUUACUGACGCUGAGGCGCGAAAGCGUGGGGAGCAAACAGG